AGUAACGCGUGAGGAACCUGCCUUGGAGUGGGGAAUAACAGCCAGAAAUGGCUGCUAAUACCGCAUAAUGCAGUUGGGUCGCAUGGCUCUGACUGCCAAAGAUUUAUCGCUCUAAGAUGGCCUCGCGUCUGAUUAGUUUGUUGGCGGGGUAACGGCCCACCAAGACGACGAUCAGUAGCCGGACUGAGAGGUUGGCCGGCCACAUUGGGACUGAGACACGGCCCAGACUCCUACGGAAGGCAGCAG
rnacentral:rRNA from 1 species